ACGCCGGAAUGAUGCCCAAAGAAGUGCUUGUGCUGGCAGUUUUGGUUAUUUUAGGAAUAGUUUUUAUAGCUUGUCUCGUUCUCUUUGUCUACAUUUGCAGAUCAAGACAUGCAAAGAAGAUGACCAGCGAAAUCCUUAUUCCAAACGGACCAACCGUGGAAGAUUUCCGCCUUCAUCCGAACAUUGAGCAAAUUUUGAUGCGAGACCUGCUGAUGGACACAACUGAACUAGAACCGCAGUGCCUGGCCAUUCUCAGGUCUUGCCACAAAGUCACCGAAAUUCUAUCAGCCAUCGCCGUUUCCCUGGUGCACAACCACAAGCUGCAGAGAGUUGCCGAGGUGGCGAGACAAACUUCGGACAGGGUGGAUGACGUCAUAAGGAGCAUGUAUCCGCCGGUGGACAGUCGUCUGUUGGAGGCGAGGGCGGUCGCUUUGGUGCUGACGGUUUCUCACCUGGCCACUUUGAUGCACUUCACCUACAAACACAAUCAAAAGGUGGCCAAGGAGAUUGAGCGGGAAUUGGCUGCCGUGGAGCCUUUUCUGCAGAGUAUCAAGUGUGCGCCUGCUCCAAUCUGUUUUCUGCUGCCCAGCAUCCUGUUUUAAAGAUUUACUUCAGUUCAUGUGCAGUAGAAGAAACAGGGCAUUAUAUCAGAGUGAAACAAAACCAACGAAGGAGUAAAAGAAAUACUUAAAAUAGGCUUAAAGAAGCGUCAGAAAAAACAGGCCAAACUUCAAGCAUGGACCCGUUUAUAUUUCCCUAUGAAUCAGUCUACAUAACAUUCUUUGCAAUUAUGAUUAUGACAUAUUUUGGAUAUAUUGUUUAUAUUGGUUAUAAAUUUUGGAAAAAGAUGAAACAGGAUAAUGAAAGCGAAGCGGUCACAUCAAGGACAAUAUAUCGUCCCUCAAAUUCUGGACCGGCAAUAUUCUUUACAGAUUCCAGUUCGGCAAACAACCAAUAUGACCCAGUCCCAAAAUAUGAUUGUCCUCCAGCCUACGAAUCUGAACCUCGCCAACCCCCAUCUUACGAGUUUGCCACUGCAAAUCGGAACCAAUUGUAUUCUGUAAUAGUUUAAAACUCACAAGAGAUCUCUUACAAUGGAAUCCAUAUUCCAGAAGUUUGUUCACCAAAGCAAUAAAUAUUAAAUUUUUAUAUGGAAUUACGAGUCAUUAUUUGUUUUAAGCCGUUUGUAUUUUUAACAUGGCUACAUAAAAAAUCGCCAUGAAUUUGAGGAAUUUUUCUUUCAAAAUUAUAUAAGUUGUUUUGUAGCAAAAUAAGUUAAUUCAAACACUGCAGGAAAAGCAUUUUUUUUAUAUAUAUUUACUCUUUUUGACUCUUGCUGCUUUUUUUACUUUGUGUUUGCUUCUGUGAUUGGCCAAUAUAUAUUAUUUGUAACUUUUCAAAGAACACACGGACGCACACACGAUUUAAUUUGAUUUAGAAUUACUAAUUAUAUUGAUUGAUGUGUGUGUCUGCGCCAGCGGAAACUGUUUAUUUUUUCAUCAUAUAAAAUCUUAUAUAGCCAACAACGGAAUUCCCAAACUGCGAUCUGACACUGGUCUCCGCUUGUGCGAUUAAGAGUCAAAUAUAUUUAGAGCAUGAUUUCUUACAUCCGCUCAUCUAUCUUCAGGAGGAAAAGAAGUUAUGUAGACCACGAAAGUUAAAAUCAAUCCGGAUAGGCAUUACAAUUAAAACGAUGAAAUAACAAAAUUGAUGUAAAAUUACCAAUAAACUUAAU